rnacentral:rRNA from 1 species
AUUGAACGCUGGCGGCAGGCCUAACACAUGCAAGUCGAGCGGUAGAGAGAAGCUUGCUUCUCUUGAGAGCGGCGGACGGGUGAGUAAUGCCUAGGAAUCUGCCUAGUGGUGGGGGAUAACGUUCGGAAACGGACGCUAAUACCGCAUACGUCCUACGGGAGAAAGCGGGGGAUCUUCGGACCUCGCGCCAUUAGAUGAGCCUAGGUCGGAUUAGCUAGUUGGUGAGGGAAUGGCUCACCAAAGCGACGAUCCGUAACUGGUCUGAGAGGAUGAUCAGUCACACUGGAACUGAGACACGGUCCAGACUCCUACGGGAGGCAGCAGUGGGGAAUAUUGGACAAUGGGCGAAAGCCUGAUCCAGCCAUGCCGCGUGUGUGAAGAAGGUCUUCGGAUUGUAAAGCACUUUAAGUUGGGAGGAAGGGCAGUAACCUAAUACUCUUGGAUAGUGGACGUUACUCGCAGAAUAAGCACCGGCUAACUCUGUGCCAGCCGCCGCCGAAACAC